AGUUAAAGCGCUAUCCUGCUGUCCCUGUCAUUAAUCAAACAACAAAAGAAAAAUACAUCUGUUUAAUUAAUCACCGAAAGAGAUUUCUUUUUUUUAACACUUGUUUAGAUUAUUCAGUAGUAUUUCUCAUUACUGUUAAGCUCAUUUGUAUCUUUGUUCUGUUGCAUUUACUGAUCCUGACUCCUGCUGCUUGCUCGAAAUGUUCAUUUUUAUUACUGUUUGCUUGAAUAUGCUUUUAUUUUCCUUUAAUCCAGAUGAUGAUGAUGUCAUUGUCUUUUUUAGGAAAGAUGCGUUUUUAAUUUUUUUCCCAACAGUUUGGAGAUGUAAUCGAGUCACAGGACCACUACACAUACCAGCCAAUACCAAAGAAACACAUACAUGCUUGAGAUGGACACAGAGACUUGAGACUUAGUUGUGAAAAAAUGAAAAAUCUGUGGUUUUCUCACCCUCAAGUCGUUCCAAACCCAUAAGACUUUCACCGUGUCUGCACCGGACGCGGACGGAGCGGUGCAACUGUCGCACUCGACCUUCAUGACCUUUCUGGAUCCUCUAACUUUUGGUCACAUGGACUGUCACCGGAGGGAAGGACAGCUUUCAGGUUUCAUUAUGAAAUAUCUUAAUUUGUGUUUUGAAGAUAACCAAAGUCUGAUGGAUUAGAUCUAAAAGAGGGGAAGUAAAUGACAAUUAUGAUGAUGAUUUCCUUGAAAAAUGAAGCUACAGAUGAUGUUUUUCUGGGAAUUGAUGUUUUAAAAAAGCACCAAAUAUCAGAAUUGUUGUAAAAUGUAUUGAAAUCUGUAAGAAGUUUACAAUGUUGACCUUGCAAUCGAAUGUAUUUUUCAAAUUUGUCCAAAUGUGAGAAACUGUCCUUCUUUUUUUUUUCUUUUUUUUUUCUAAAGUUUAAUACAAGUCCAUCUGGAAUGUGAGUGGCUUUUUUUCAGUGGCACAUGGAUGUAACAUUUCUUGGAUGAACGUUCUAUUCUGGAAUGUUAUGCUUUUACGUUUUAAAGCAGUUUUCACUAUUAACUGUUGUAAAUUCUUCCUCAAAUUCCAAAAGUGGAGAUUGUCAAUGAGUGUUGAAGAUUUCAAUGUGAUGUAAUGAACAUUUAAAUAUGUUUGACUCUCAAGAGU